AUUUCUCUUUCGCAGCCGAAGCAAGACCUGAAGCACCCCGGCGCUCCGACCCCCAAGUUCUCCUCCACCGCCCCCUCCGCACUGCACCCCUGCUCACCUUCUCAGCCCGCCCACCCCCUUCUCGGUGCAGUGGUGUCCGGUGGCCGCAGGCUGCCGGUUGGUCCCUAGACCUCCCUGCUCCUGCUCCUGCUCCUCCUCCCGGCUCUCGCUCGCCUCCUCUCCCAGUCGGGGCGCCCAGGCUUGGCGAAGCGCAGCACCUGCCACCCGCGCUUCGCUCCCGGCUCUGUCUCGUCGCAGCCCAGGGGGCACCGGCGCGGGCCAAGCACCCUCCAGGGGCAGCGCUCGGCGGACCCCAGAGCCGGGUGCUGCGAGAAGUGGUGCUUUGACAAAGCUCGAGAGAAAAAGCGGGUUCGGAGUGAGACUCCUGGAGCCAGCGGGACGCGCCAGUUCGCCCAGUGCGGAGCGGCCGCACGCACCGUCCACCAGGAACUGUGAUGAGGUUUGCAGCUGGCAGGAGAGUAUGACAGUGUGGCCACAUACGUCUGCGUGUUCCCUUUGGCAAGGGAAUCCCGACUCACAUGAAACAACUCCAGGAGUUAGCUGAGGGCCUGAAAUGCAGAUUCGGCAUUCUUUUCCUCCCCAGCCCCUCCCCCAGCCCGUGAUUUGACAACAAAAACUAAGAUUUUGUUAACCAAUACCUGGAAGUGUCUCCUCCUCCCACAUCAACACCGCAGGAACUCUGUAUGACUCUGUCACUUCAGCUCAUUCGGACAUUUCUAUGGCUCCUUCCAGAUGAUGGAGAAAGGUACCUGAGGAAAGUGCAUUAGGGAGAACCAAACAUAAUAUCAAGUAGAUAUUCUAAAUGUACUUUAGAGGAUAGAGUGACACAUGUCCCCACUACUCAUACACUUACUGGCAUGUAUUUAAUAAGUAUAAAAACCUGCAUAUGGUUCUUCCACAUUUGUUAGAGUUAAUACUCUAGCUUUUCAACCAAACAUUUACUGUCACCAUGUUACAGGCAAGGGAACAUAGUUCCAGAGAUCCUAAGUAGAACUGGGGCGUAACACCCAUGCUCUUUCCAUGACAUCUACUUAUCUAAUAGAAAAGAAAAUGCAAUUAUAGAUCCUACUUUGGAAAAGGUGUACAUGAAAGAAAUGUAAAUUAAAAAAUGAGAAUCAGAAUGGUUUACAGUCAUUUAGCAGCUAUCAGUCAAAGAUGUCUUAAUAUCUUUGUAAUACUACAGAUUGUAAUCUUAUGAGAAUGCUGCAUUGGCUUAUAAAAUAAAAUCUUGUCCUGCCAUCUGGCAAGAGCUCUUUUGUUCUAAAUAUUUAAGAGAAAAAUACUGGUUUUUUUUCUAAGUCAGUGGU